rnacentral:rRNA from 1 species
UACGUAGGGGGCAAGCGUUGUCCGGAUUUAUUGGGCGUAAAGAGCGUGUAGGCGGUCAGGUAGGUCCGUUGUGAAAACUCGAGGCUCAACCUCGAGACGCCGAUGGAAACCAUCUGACUAGAGUCCGGAAGAGGAGAGUGGAAUUCCUGGUGUAGCGGUGAAAUGCGCAGAUAUCGGGAAGAACACCCGUGGCGAAGGCGGCUCUCUGGAACGCAACUGACGCUGAGACGCGAAAGCGUGGGGAGCAAACAGG